rnacentral:lncRNA from 1 species
GGAGUAGGAGCCCCCAGACGCCUCCCGGAAUCGACGUCCCGGGUGCGUGCUAGAGGUGGGGCCCGGGCCGGGCGGGUCGAGGCGGGGCGCCCUGUGUGUGCUUUUGUUUCGGUUGGGUGUCGGAACAGCCACGCCCUCGAGAAGGCCGGCUUUGGAAGCGCUGAUUCCCACCGCGAGGUUCCCAGUGCGGUUAGGGCUUGUCCUGGGCUGCAGAGCUGGGCGCUGGCUAGCUCGGCCUGCAUUGCCUUUCAGUGUCCAACUGUUGGCCUGAGACCAGCAGCCCGGGCCCAUCCCUUCCCAUCCGGCCUCGUCAAGCCCUAGGGAGCAGGGUAGGGAAGCCCAGAAUCACUGGAACGUAUGUCUCAGUUGGCCACUGAUCUGCCCACCCUCCUGGAAUAUGAGCAGGAACAGAGCAGUGGGCAGCAUCCCAGAGGAAAGAACUUAGCAGGCCUGACAACCCAGUGGAUAGAGGAACAAAAGCCCGGGAGCGGGAUGGUCCCCGCAGAAGCCGAGACGGAGAAAGGACUGGCUUAGGGGGAAGAGAAUUAAUUCUGUUUUGGACAUAGUGUGCGGCUCAGCAGUCCCAGUCCACGCAUAAACCCCCAGGAGAUUCUUGGACCUGUGUAAGGGGACACAGUGGGAGAACGUUAAGGGAGAGAUCGUUCACGAUCACAACAGCGGGAAAUGCCCAUGACCAGAAAGGUAAGGAAAUUCUGAGCAGCGCGGCGCACAAGUGUACGGAGGAAAGCACGGCUCCAAGAGCGGCGGGCAGAGUGAGCCAGUCACCCCUCCGGUUCCACUCUCUCUUCCUCGAGCAAGAGCUCAGAUUUGGAGCUAAGCAAUUGGCUUCAGUUGAAUCAUUAUAGUGAUUACGAUUUGGCCAGGGACAGAUACCCUGAAAUGUUGUAGGUCACUUGAGAUACCUCUCCUGAAAGGCCGGAGCCUACCUUCUUGACUCUUCUUCCUGCUC